rnacentral:tRNA from 1 species
GGCCCCGUAGUUCAACUGGAUAGAAUAUCAGAUUUCGGCUCUGAGGGUUGGGGGUUCGAAUCCUCCCGGGGUCACAA